UACGGAGGGUGCAAGCGUUAUCCGGAUUCAUUGGGUUUAAAGGGAGCGUAGGUGGCCUUAUAAGUCAGCGGUGAAAUCUCUGGGCUUAACCCAGAAAUUGCCAUUGAUACUGUAGGGCUUGAGUAUAGUUGCCGUUGGCGGAAUAUGACAUGUAGUGGUGAAAUACAUAGAGAUGUCAUAGAACACCGAUUGCGAAGGCAGCUGACGAAACUAUAACUGACACUGAGGCUCGAAAGUGCGGGGAUCAAACAGG
rnacentral:rRNA from 1 species